CACCGUCGUGGGAGUUCACAGUUGCUCGUGCACCACCUUCAGGCCCUCCCCUCCCCUAGCUCCGCCACUCUUGGCAUGGCCACAGAGUCCACCCGUCGCUGCUGGGGAGUCCACUACGCGGAAUCGACCGGUAGCACCCAUCCCCCUUUUCCCUGGCUCGCUCCUCCCUGGGAGUCCUCCCUGCGCCGCCAGGGAGUCCACCCGCGCCUACCCCUGCGCUGGUCGGGUCCCUGGGCCUCCCGCGGCGGGGCAUCGACCUCCUGCGGUUAUGGGUCGACAGCGACAUGAGGGGCUGCAGCCUACAGGUCGUGUGCGGGCCUGUUCACGGUAAUUUUCUCUGUGAACUGCUACCGUUUUGUGAACUUGCUCGAUGAUCUACUCAACUCUGAAGUCUGAACCGGCUGAUGUUGAUACAGAAUUAUACUCUACCUAACUGUUUUGGUAUUUUCUACUCACUCGUCAGUUAUAGCAAUCUGUUUUAAUUAACACGGAUUUGCACCUCGUCUGCAUAGAAAAGAUGUCUUUUUUUAUGCAGUGAGAUGAAGUUUACUAACUGUUCGUGAUACAGCGAAGCUCUUGUUUUUUGUGUUCUCUUACCGCAGAAGGGAGAAAUAGUUUGCUGAUGUGUGCAGAACUUGCGUCUGUUGCUUUUCUUUCCUCCUGUUCUUAGAGUGAGCCCACAAUAGUUUGCUUUUUUGACAGCAGAAGGGAGAAAUAGCUAUUCACAUCAUAGAUUGCACGGAGAAAGUGAAGUUGAUUCUUGUUUAAUACAACAAUUUGGGAUGGUACGAAAAAGAAGUUAUUCACAUCAUAUUUGGGGGAAAGUUCACUUCUAUUUCUGGGAGUUAAUUUUGUCUGCCUGACGGGUUUGGUUAAAAAUCAUGCAACAAAUUAGGGAGUUCAGAAACAUAAGUACGAUCGAAUGGUAAGAACAUUUUUUUUGUACAAGUUCAGAUUGUCCAACACUGCAUGUUCACCUUUUCCAAAAAGCAGUUCAGUUUCGCCCUGCCGCCUCUACUCUGAACUCUUGCACCGCUGCUGUUUCUCUGAACUGCCUCCCAGCCGAUGCACCUGAUAUGCAUGCUUGCUUACAAGCUAAUAUCUGCUUUUGAAGAUGCGAGUAAUCAAGCAUGAACGAUGAUGAACUUGUGAAGUUCAGAUAAGUAGUGAAGUAGGGAUCAACUCUGAAGUUCACCACAACCAGCCGCCGCCGCAAAGCCUAUGCGGAAUACCACUGGGCCUUCGCCGUGGUUGUGCCUCUCCACAAUAGCACCCCGUUGUGGCAGUCUACACCAACACAGCAGGAGUUCACCAGGCGGCGCUCUGGGAGUCCACAAUGGGGCAGUAGCAACAAUUUGGAUUCAGCGAGAUAUUGGUCAAAAUGGAAUUAUCUGAAGCAGCUAAUUUUGGGACGAAUUAUCUCAAACCAAUGCCAAGGACGAUGGGUGAAGUUCACUUCUUCUAAACCUUAAAACUAGAAUUUCGGAUUUAAUUUUGGAGCACUGCAGUUCACAUCGGCGUUGGAAAAUAUCCAUCACCUACCUCCGCAUCGGCGUUGGCGAACAUCCGUGCACGCCAAGAUCCCAGCUAUGAAGUUCACAUCUUUUUUCAGCGUAAGCUUACUGUGUGAGGGGAAAGAAGUUCAGUAAAACACUACAGCAGCUAAUACGUUGUAGUACAAUUCAUCAUUGUUCAUUGUAUGCUGUUGGAUGUUGCUGCUGAUGUGUUGGUGACACUUAGUAAAUCUUGAAGGCAAAGAAAUGGGAUGCAAGAAAGUUUCUUGCUUUUUCUGUAGCCAGCGUGAAAGUUCAGUUCACCUAAUUCCGUGAAGUUCACUCCUCCCAAGUGCUUCAGUUCAGAUUUUUCCAGCUAGAUGGGGAUUGUGAAGUAUGUGAAGUAUGUGCACGAGCAGGGACUUGUGAAGUAUGUGCACGAGCAGAUGGUGGUGAUGCUGUUGUACCCAUAGUACACCUUCGAUUGCUUAGAGAAUAGGUAAUACAUAUAUGUUCUCGAUGUGUGGGUGAUAGAAAAAUAGUAGUUCACUUCACCAUAUUGUAAGUUAAUGCUUUAUUUUGGGGAAGUCCCCCAAAUCUAUUGGCAGUUCACUUUGUGUAAUUGGCCAAAAGUUAACUGUAUAGCCGCCUACAGCAGUUCACUCUGUAAACUUUAAAUCAUGUGAAUUGUACUGAUGUUUCUGUUGGUGUGUACUUUC